CAAUUCAUCAUGCACUAAAAUAGAGAUCUAAAAUAAGACAGGUGACUCAUGCCUAAAAAUAGAUAAUCACUUCCAUUAACUAAUAAGGGAAGCCUGGAGUGCUCAGUUCAGCUGCAAAUGUAAAUACAUCACACGUGUCUGAGGUAGAGAGAAGUGAAUUCCAUCCCAAGUUAUUGUCAGUAUCAGGAAUGACUUCUUUUCCAACAAUGCCUGCAGAUCUACUGGGACAAACCCUUGUGCUGCGUUUUGCUGCCUUUCUCUGGCUGCCUCCCCCUGCUUGAGCGCAAAGGCCAGGAAUAUGACAGUCAAGGCUGAGAUACACAGGACAACUCCUUUCUCUUUUAAGAUGUAGGCCACAGUGCACCUUAGGAGCUGAUUCUAUCAUACAAGAUUUUGAAAAGAUCGACCAGCAAGUAAAAAGUUGUCGCCUUUUUCUGGACAGGAGCCUUAGAAAUUUACCUUGGGGGUAGGGGAGAAAGAAGCUAAAGUUUUGAGACUACAGUGUUUCAAGAAGCAUACCAAGCUCUUUCUCCCAGCAUUUUUAGGUUAAUGAUACAAUUGUCACAACCAGCAAAAAUUUGAAUAUUAACAAUAAAUGGGUUUUUGUAGA